CUGUACAAUACUCCAACCAAUUUCAUCUAAUGGAUUGACCAGUUCUUGAACAUAUGGUACUGUCAAAAGACCAUCGCCAAGUCCCCCGACAAAUAACAAUAAUGAUCGAGUUACGUUGGAUGUAAGUGUAACGUUACUUUUUCCAACUAGCUCGAAAGCAACAAGCCUUUCUGUGUACUCAUGGAGAAUACCAGGAUGCGAGGCUGACAUCGUGCAAUAAAUAAAAGAAUCAAAUUUUUAGAUGUUGAAAGUUGAAUAAUUUUCGCCUAACCUUACAAAGUAGAUAUUCAUACGAUGCUCAAAUACGAGAUAUGAGCAAGGAUUAUAUCUUAUCCAUUAUCAGCAAAACAACAACUAAGCUCACUAUUUUGAUCGCGUGCUUUAUAAUAUAAUUACAAUCCGGUUUACAAUCAAGUUUAAGAUAUGAUUAUAGAAAUCUCAUAUAGAAGGAUUGAAUUAGUAAAUUUAGGUAUUGAAGCUUGGAGUUGAUUGUACAAAAGUUAAUCAAUUCAAGAGUUUAAGGCGUUCGAAACUAUUUGCUUAGUAUUUUCCAAAAAUUAUUGUUUAUAGAUCAUUCAGCUACUAUAAAGUACGAAUUUUGCAAUUCCUUCUUUUGCUUUUGCUUUAUGUAGCUUUCCAUAAACCACUAUGGAUUUCAAAUAAUGAUGGUCGCAGUUGGAACGAAUUCACAAACCCAGCUUGGUAAAAUGAUUAAUGAGAAAGAGAUAUAUCGCUCUAAAUGAAAGUUGGAUAACAUUAUUACUAGCAGAAAAGUGGAUAUGUGCGAUAAUACAAGUUUAAAGAUGCAUACAAUGGCAAUUAACGAUUUGAGUGGUGUCAAUUUUGAUUUGUAUGAUGUAUCCAAUCGAAAAAGAUUGAGUAAGUUAUAUCUUGUACUGAACAUCAUAAAAUUGCAAUUAGACGAAAAUACAGUAAACGUUUAUCUACUCACUACAAUUACUACUACUGAGAGAAUACAUUACAAUAAACCUUUUCACAACAGUGACCACAUAACUAAACAAAAGUGAUUUUUAUUUUCACAUAGAAUAAAUUAUGUAAGACGAUAAACGACUACAAUUAACCAGGAGUUUCAAGACCGUGUUUGAGAUAACUUAUCUAAAGGGAUUAGCUUUUCGCAGCAAAUCGCAUUAACAGGAGAGUUUCAUACGUAAAGACCCGUCUUUUUCGUCAAUUAAUAGGGAUCAAAAAACGAGAGAAUUUAAGCAAAGUAUUGAAGGAACUUGACACCGAUGUCUCCAACAACUUGGGUCUGAGUGGGCAAAGUACCGUUGGGGAAAGAGUUCAAGGUAGUGUUCAAAGCACUUGCAAAGGUGAAGGCAGGCUCAACGAGAGGGCUGUAACCAGAAGUGAAAGUAGCGACACAUUGUCCAUAAAUAUAGAAGGGACCAUAGUUGGGGAAAGCGGAAAGGGGAGCAUACUUCCAGCUCUCGAUGGUGCUAGCCAACUUGUAGCAGUCGCUCUUGGUUUGAGUGUCAAUGAAAAGGGUGGCAUUAGCAGCACCGGUGGUGUUGCUGCUGAUCUCGUUGAGGCUAUGAGCAAUAUAGGUUCCCCAUCCGAGUUCAUCAACAGUCCAGUUCUUUCCGAACAAGCUAACAAUGCUAGUCAAGUCGUACUCGUAGCUGUAUUUGGCCCAGAGAGCCAAUGUACCAACCAAAGCGUCAGGAACGACCUCCUUGGUAGGGUUAACAUCAUCGAAGGCAGUGAAGGCAGCAGCGAAUUCGAUCAAGUCACCCUUCUCCAAAGCGCUGACAGCAGUGCACCAGUCACGAGAGGUACGAUUGUUAAUACCGUAUUGAGUAUCGAUAAUCUCGACACCUAAAGCGGUGUCAAAGAGUUCAUUGGCAAUAUCCCAGUGGUGAAUAGGACCAUUAAGACGGAACUUGAGAGCAUCACGAACCUUAGAGAAAGUACCCCUAGUAGUCCUGUUGAAACGGGUGUCAGGGGAAAGAGGGCCACUGGUGUAGCAAGAAGUGUUGGUGUAGCUAACAACCAAGGUGUUAUCAGGAGUGGGAACACUUGAGUUAGAAGCGUUGGCACCAUAAGCGGUGGUGAGGGAACCCAAGGAGAGGGCACCCAACAAGGUCCAAACGAAUGACUUCAUUGAAUUGAUUGAAAAAAAAAAAAAAGAGAGAGAGAGAAAGCGAAAAUUAAAAUAAUAAAAAUAAAAAACUUAUUAUGUCUAGAAAGACCGUUUAACUAGUAACGACUGCGUUUAAUAGGGACGGAUGUUUUUAGCCACCAAAGUGUUAGCAAAAUCCCUUUACUUUUUGAGCAAUUUCGAAAUUGCAAUACUUUUCCUUGUCCUAAUUGAACAAUGCAAGCAUCAUGACCAGCCUUCCUAUAUAUAUCGUUUCCGCAGAACUUCCGGACUUUUCACAAUUUGUGUAUGAUUCUUCCGUGAUCCGCAGCCGACUAUUCGCAUCAGUUCUAAGAACAUUGUUGCUCAGCCGUCCACCUAUCUUCCAUACGCUAGAAAAAUAGUGAAACUUUUGCAGGCUUAGACAUGGGGCAAUGGCCACAUUCCAUACGAAAAUAGAAUCAUCUGGUUCUUGAACUGCAUAUCCGUGAGGGCCAACUUUUGGUAUUUUUCAACACAGGAUGGAUUGGAAGAGGCUUUGUGUUUCCAGGAUUUAUUUUUAACAGUAUUCAUUUUUUUUCAAUUGAUCGUUUUUUCUCUCAAAAGCCAUGAACUGCCGGUUAGGCUAGACAGGCGACUGCUUAUUUUAAAUUUAGGUUAUCACAUUUUCCUUUAGAAAUUCUUUUUAUUUAUUUAUUUUAUUUAUUAUUAUUUUUUUAUUUUUUUAACAAUAAAUCUUUGCUAUGAAUCCCAGAA
rnacentral:misc_RNA from 1 species